UUAACUAUAGCAUAAAUAAAUGUUUUAUUUUUACAAGAUAAAGAUAUCUAAUUGAUUAGUUAAU
rnacentral:tRNA from 2 species